rnacentral:rRNA from 1 species
AAUGAACGUUGGCGGCGUGGAUUAGGCAUGCAAGUCGCGCGUGUACCCGCAAGGGGAAAGCGGCGUAAGGGACAGUAAUAUGUAGGUAUCUACCCUGGGGUCCAGGAUAGCCACGGGAAACUGUGGGUAAUACUGGAUGACAUCUCCGGAUCAAAGGUGUGAUUCCGCCCUAGGAUGAGCCUGCAUCCUAUUAGGUAGUUGGUGAGGUAACGGCUCACCAAGCCAAUGAUGGGUAGGGGUGUGAGAGCACGACCCCCGUCACUGGGACUGAGACACUGCCCAGACACCUACGGGAGGCUG